UACGUAGGGGGCAAGCGUUGUCCGGAUUUAUUGGGCGUAAAGAGCGUGUAGGCGGCCAGGUAGGUCUGCUGUGAAAUCCCGGGGCUCAACCUCGGAACUGCCUUUGAUACUGCAAAUCUCGAGUCCGGAAGAGGUGAGUGGAAUUCCUAGUGUAGAGGUGAAAUUCGUAGAUAUUAGGAAGAACACCAGUGGCGAAGGCGGCUCACUGGUCCGGUACUGACGCUGAGGUGCGAAAGCGUGGGGAGCAAACAGG
rnacentral:rRNA from 1 species